rnacentral:rRNA from 1 species
GUGUCAGCAGCCGCGGUAAUACGUAGGGGCCAAGCGUUGUCCGGAUUUAUUGGGCGUAAAGAGCUCGUAGGCGGUUUGGAUAGUCGGGUGUGAAAACUCCGAGCUCAACUCGGAGACGCCACCCGAUACUGCCAUGACUAGAGUCCGGUAGGGGAGCAGGGAAUUCCUGGUGUAGCGGUGAAAUGCGCAGAUAUCAGGAGGAACACCGGUGGCGAAGGCGCUGCUCUGGGCCGGUACUGACGCUGAGGAGCGAAAGCGUGGGUAGCAAACAGGAUUAGAUACCCUGGUAGUCC